rnacentral:tRNA from 1 species
GAGAGAGGCUCGCCAGCAACAAAGAUUGCUAAUCUUCGUCACCUUAGUUGAACUCUAAGGCUCACUCG